GCUGGGGUGGCAGAAAUAUGCGUUGGAUUUAAGCUCCUAUUAUGAGGUAUACCUUCUCUGGUU
rnacentral:tRNA from 1 species